CUGGCUCAGGACGAACGCUGGCGGCGUGCCUAAUACAUGCAAGUCGAGCGAACAGAGAAGGAGCUUGCUCCUUCGACGUUAGCGGCGGACGGGUGAGUAACACGUGGGCAACCUACCUUAUAGUUUGGGAUAACUCCGGGAAACCGGGGCUAAUACCGAAUAAUCUGUUUCACCUCAUGGUGAAACAUUGAAAGACGGUUUCGGCUGUCGCUAUAGGAUGGGCCCGCGGCGCAUUAGCUAGUUGGUGAGGUAACGGCUCACCAAGGCGACGAUGCGUAGCCGACCUGAGAGGGUGAUC
rnacentral:rRNA from 1 species